rnacentral:misc_RNA from 1 species
GAUGAAGAACGUAGCGAAAUGCGAUACGUAAUGUGAAUUGCAGAAUUCAGUGAAUCAUCGAAUCUUUGAGCGCACAUUGCGCCUGCCAGCACUCUGGCAGGCAUGCCUGUUCGAGCGUCAUUUCAACCAUCAAGCCCUAGGCUUGCGUUGGAGCCCUGCGGCUGCCGCAGGCCCCUAAAAGCAGUGGCGGGCUCGCUAUCACACCGAGUGCAGUAGAUUACUCUUCGCUCAGGGCGUGUGGCGGGUUCCAGCCGUGAAACCCCCUACUUCUCAAGGUUGACCUCGGAUCAGGUAGGAAUACCCGCUGAACUUAAGCAUAUCAAUAAGCGGAGGA